GGUUACAAAAAUCAAUGGAUAUUUAGAAGCCCUAGAUACCUACCCACUUGCCAUAUCUAGGCCUAUUUAUUUUCACUGCAGUAGUUCAACCUUUGUCCUAGACACUAAUGAUAGCAUUCAUCUACAGCUGAUCGUUUACAAUUGUCAGAUUAGUGGAGUAAAAGUUCACAGUUCAAUAUUUAUGAUGAACAUGCUGACUUUGUUGACUUGCCAUAAAAUUAUGUCACAUGCAAUCUGAUUGGUUGAUCUCUGUAGAAUAGUGAGCAAGAACCAAUGAAAUAUUACGUUACAAACUUCACUGACACUUCGAAAAUGGCCUACAAAUACUUAGGAGAGGAUAUUCUGAAAGGUUUUGACAAAUAUAAGUACAGUGCUCUGGAUACAAGUCCAUUCAGCAACUAUGUCAUGCAUCCUUUCUGGAACACUGUGGUCAAGGCUGUGCCAAGAUGGGUGGCCCCUAAUAUGUUGACAUUCUCAGGGUUUGUAUUGCUGGUGUAUAACUUUGGUGUACUGUCAUACUAUGACCCUGACUACACUGCAUCAGACACGCGGCCAGGAGAUCUAGGUCCUAUACCCAACUGGGUGUGGCUCGUCUCAGCUUUAUGCGUAUUUGGAGCUCACACAUUAGAUGGUAUAGAUGGUAAGCAAGCCAGGCGCACAGGGUCCAGUAGUCCUCUGGGUGAACUGUUUGAUCAUGGCAUAGACAGUUGGUCCACUCUUAUUCUUCCAACAGGGAUGUAUUCCAUAUUCAGCCGUGGCUUUUACGGUCAGCCUACCUUGUCAGUGUUUGGAGUUGUAUUCCUUGUGCAGUUUUGCUUUCUGUUGUCUCAUUGGGAGAAAUACAACACUGGGGUACUCUACCUGCCUUGGGGAUAUGAUCUAGGACAAAUUGGUAUGAGUUUGUUGUAUCUAAUAACAUUCCUUGGCACUAUAGACUUAUGGAAGAUGACACUACCUAUAGUUCAUUUAAGUCCUGCAUGUUUCUUCACAAUAUGUUUGUAUGCUUCCUGUGUAUUAUCAGCGCUUAUUUCUGUGUUUAAUGUUUAUGUGUCAUACAGGGACAAUACAGGGCACAAUAGAACAUUUUAUGAAGCCACCAGGCCUUUGAUAUCAUCAUCAGUAUUAUACAUAUUGUUCACCAUUUGGGCUUUAUAUUCACCAUAUGACAUCUUAGAAAAAACACCAAGACUGUUUUACUACACAUGUGGGACAACAUUCUCCAAUCUAGCUAGUCGUCUGAUAGUUAACCAAAUGAGCAUGACAAGGUGUCAGGUAUUUAACUGGUUGUUAGUGCCUCUCCUAUGUGUGGUUGUACUUAUAUUUGCCAUUCCAUUGGGUGCGUAUGAACUCUACUUCCUGUGGGCGUACUGUCUUCUGGUCACAACAGCACACAUACAUUAUGGGUAUUCAGUGGUGGUCCAGAUGGCAGAUCAUUUAGGAAUCUAUAGUUUUACCAUUACAAGUAAGCCUCCAAAAAAGCAAACAUGACUGACUCAGGACCAAAUGCACAGGUGCUAGCGAAGCCAAAGAUACAAACCAACCCCAUCAAACCAUUAUGAUGUUAUUCAGCUUUUUGUCAAGGAUUGUGUGAACGCUAAACAUUUACAAUGAUUGAACAAAAGAACCAAUUUCUAUGCACAGGGUUCUCACAAUAUUGGAUAGAGACUGGCGGCCCGUAUAGUCUUAUCUACUGACAGUGUAGUCUAAUGCAAUGACAAAAUCCCACUGAAUUCUAUUGACUGAAAUAUAUUAUCAACAGUACUAAUAUAGUCCUUAAAAAGAAUUAACAAAAACAAGAAGAGAAAGAAUAUCACUUACUUUUUUCUGGUUAUUAGUUUAUAAUCAUCAGUAUUUGUAGAAAAACAGGAGUUAUUGUACAUUUGAGUACUGAUGCUGCAAAAUGCCAUGAUACAUCAAACAACGGGAUGCAACUUUUUCUGGAGUCUAGAAUUUUUCUUGUGAGAACCCUGAUAUGGUCAUAGGAUCUACAUGGUAUAAUCUGUGUAAUCAUACUUCAGAAUUUAUUCAGAGGGGAAAAGGCACAAUAAUUUGGAAGAAUUUGUGAUCAUAGACAGUGUUCUGUUCUCCACAGAAUUUUUUCUCCAAGUGGGUGCAAAAUUCCCAUUUUCACAAUUCAGACCAAAAUUGGUCAAAGUAU
rnacentral:misc_RNA from 1 species